UCAGCAAAAGAAACUCCAGAACCCAAAGCAAAUUUUCCUGCCCGGUACAAGGAGGACAUAUUUUCACUGACUGUUUCCAUGGAAAUAAAUCGGAGGCAUUACUUUUGGAGCAACUAUGCGGCCCAAGAUAAUUUGUCUUGACUCAGUGUGAUCCAGGCAAGCCAAAAGGUUGCACACCCAUGAAAUAAGCCAAGAAAGUACAUGGACUGCAAGAAAAUUCUUUUUGGUCUACUGACAUCCCUGUUUAAUUAAUAAGUGCUGUCACACAUUCAGCAAGCACGCAUAUCGCUCUUGGUCUUGGUAAGAGCCACUCUCUUUUCCAGUGCUGUGAGUCACUCAGUCUUCACAAGGUUUUGUCCUCUUCACCAGUCACAAAAAAAUAUUUGUUUGGAAUUUGGUAAACUGAAGUGGAAGUGUCCUCGCUGCUGAGAAUUUACACUGGGACCAGAAUGAUGCCUGCUCUUCCCUCACACAAGGAUGCAGAGCCUAUCGAAGGAAGGGAAUUACGAAAUGACAAGGAUAUGUCCGUACAGUGGGCUCUGCUGUUGUCUCUGAUCUCUCAGUGAUGGAACAUCAGGAUUCCCCAAGAUGUGUACAGACAACUAAUGCCACCCGCAUGCUGGAAUUCGAAAGUUUAUUUUAGUUUUGAUUGUAGUUGUUUUUGUUUUUUUCUCUCUAUCUGGAACAGUGGUUUUCUUAUUACCUGCCAGCCUACUAACAGGACAAAUCUCAGUCGCAGACAGCAGGAUUACAAAACUGAAGUUGCCAUUGUGCUUUUAGGAUCAUAUGAGCCACUUGGUGCAGUACACACAGAGCAGCUAAAAUAACAAGGGGUGAUGCCAUCUCUGAGACACAAAGUUAUAACAGAGUAAGCUGACAUUAUAAAGUGGCUGGAGAAGCUGUGUACUUCCUACAGCAGUAGAGGAGCAUGAAGUGCAAUCCUCCAUCAUUUUUGAGGAGAGAAACUCCGUCUGCAAGCUGUGAAAGCAAACUGGUCGUGUGAUUGCUGUCUGAAGGAGUAUCCUUUGAUACCUAUUGAUUCAAUUGAUUUCAUUUUGUGGAAUGGGUUGGAAAGGGCUGAUCUUUGUCUUCUGUCACAAGGACUGGGAAUUAAAUCAUUCUGUCGCCUUGGGCUCUGAUCAUGUUAAUUCCACAGCCAACAGGCAAACAUGGGCAUGGUGCCUGGCACAGUGGUGAUCUGUACUGUCAUUCAGAAGAUGAAACUGUGCGACAUUCACUAGGAGCCAACUGAAAAGUCACCGGAGGCACCCUGUGGCCUUUUCUUUUGAUGCAUAAACAGAUUUUACUGGAAGGGGGGAGAGUUGCCCAUUGCACCAGAUCAACUCUGCUUUUUCACAUCAAUGCUUGGUUGCUGAUGUUGGCCCCUGGCACAGGGCUCUUCAAUUUUCAUCAGACUACUAAGAAUCCCCUCAGUAUUUCAAUGAGAGCAUUUAGGAUACUAAGAUAUAUCUGGUUUGCUUUGGAGUUUUUAUUGUUGUUGCUGAUUUUUUCCAAUCUGUGGAAGGAACUGUCACUAGGAAACCACUGUGGUACGGGAACUGUAUGAAUUCUGCAGUCUUCUUCAUAUCUCUUUAUCAAGUGAUAGAUACAGCCUGUCCACUCCAUUCUUUCCCUUUUUCCUAUUCUGUGACAGCAAAUAAAGACACCAGCUAAAGCCGGUUGUGGAGAUUAGGGCUGUUUUCAGCUCACCUUCUUAGCAAAACAAGGCUUACAUGCUUACUCUGCAUGUAAUCUUAAUGUCUUAUGAACACUUCUAGCCAAUCUCUCCCAAACAUAUCAGAAAAGCUGAGUUGCCAGUACACUUACUUCCUACAUUUUCUUCCAGUUCAGUCAAAAGGAGCAGCCCAAAAAAUCAUCAGCAGCAUUUUUCUGCUGUAAGUGGGAAAGGUAGAAAAACAGCAGGAGAACUUUAUAUUUGCACAAGGAGAUAAUAUAAAUCUCACUUUCAAUCACUUAGUAUCCAUUCACUGAGAGAUGCACAUCCACAAGAAAGGAGGUGCGCAGCAACCCACGUUUUCUUAUGUGAAUACUUGUCAACUAGUAGACAAAUCAAACAAGUCAGUUGGUUCUUUGCAGGCUUACACUUGUGGCAUUGAACUUAAUCAUUCCUAUUUCUGAAUUCUGGUCCUGAGUUUAGGUAAUGAUUUCUUUCUCAGUAGUGACUUUCUGUACUGGUUGAAACAUAAACUACUUAAAUGACUGUACUCAAUACUUAUUUAUUGUCUCUUGCAGAAUUAUCUUUCCCAAACCUUUCUUGAACUAUAAUGUUAAUCUGGGGAGCUCUGGAUGUAGUCCAUCCUGGAUGUCUGCUCCAGAUAAUACAAAAAAACACUGAAUUUUUCAUAAUUCUUUCUAUACAUGCAUGUUGGUUUCUCAGGUAUGUGAUUUAUGGACUCUUUCAGCAUCACUUUCUGCUUUUGAGAAGAUACAGAAAAAAUAGCAGCCCUAAUGCAAGGGGAAGAUGUGAGGAAAAUCAAAAAGCUUUGUGUUCCCAGAGCAGUAAAAAAAUACCUCAAAAUGUUUUUCUUAAGAAAACAGUUUCUGGCAUGACCAGGAUGUUUUCAACUCAACUUUCUUCUACCUUGUUUAUACAGGUGAUCAUCAGUUUUCUUCAGCUUCUGGUCUAUCAGUCUCAGAGGAUAUUUACAGAUCGUAUAAUAUUGAAUUAGAAUCAUGGAAGUGUUAAUGUGCAAUAUAUGCAACAGAAUGGUGGCUACAAAUUAACACUAGUGUCCAAUCCUUCAGAAAAAAUAAUAGAAAUAUGCUACUGCUGAGAUUUAAUGCAAAGUGAAUGAAAAGAAACAGUGACAAUACUUCUCCAUGCUUUCAGAAUUAAGAGGAUUCUAACACUAAUCAAAACCUUUCACACAUUCUUUUUUCCCAUGCUGAAAAUGGAUCAAAGUUUGAAAAUACAACUCAGAGAUUAUUAUGUUUGCAUGCGUAUUUUACAAUCUAUAAACAAGACCUUUACUAAGCAAGCAACUUCUCUAUGGAAAAAGUUCAAUUUCCCAUAAAGAAUUCACGGGAAGAUCUGUAUGUUCAAAAUAUACUUUCUAUUUAUUUCACCCCAGAAAUUCAUCUGACCAAUUUCUUUUCCAGGAAGGGGGAUAAGUGAAAACAUAUGCUUGGUCAUUCUGUAUUUUUUUAACUUCUUGAAUUUCAGCAGUAAGGAGAUUAACUUGACUCAGUAUAAACUAGGGAUGGAAAGAUCUUUGAUGCAGCUGUGAAACUUUCUGCUUCUUUCAGAGCUGAAGGAACACAGCAACAGAGACAUCUGCCACAUCUGCUUCUGUUAUAAAGCAUCAAGUAUAUUGAGGAAGAUAAUGCUUGGUCAUGGUACAUGUUAAUAUCACCUACUGACAAAGCAGGGUUUUCUUAUGUUCAGUUAUGUACACUGACCUGGUAUUAAGUGGAAGGAUCACUGCCCUUUUACAACCUUUUGUACUUGUUCAAUAGCUUUUGAUUCUGUUUGGAGAACCCGUUUCUUGUUAAAAACUUGAGCAACCAAAUCCAUCCUCCUUGAGCAUUGCUGCUCAUAUACCACAGAAUCACCAAAUUCUUGUGGGCUUUCCAAAGCCUUCGUGAGCUAAUGGUGGUCUCCCAUGAUUUCCUUCAAAAUCCGCACAACUGUAAUAAGCCAGAUACCUUAGACUUACAAGGACAGCAUUCACUAACAGCUUUGAAAUGUGUAUACCCAUUGCUGCUUUGAAAACAAGGCCAAAACAGCAUUUUAUUUUUACUGAACAUUAUUAGAGAGCUCUCCACUAAGCCUGUCCAGAACUUUUGUAUUAUUUGAGAUGAAACAAGAAGAGGAAGCUUCUUCUCUAGAAAUUUUGUACUAGUGAGGUUUUUUUAUUCAGCUGAACCCAAAAGCAGAAUUUGGAUCAGAGGUUUUAUUGUAAAAUCUCCAUUACUUCCUGUAGAUUUUCCUAUUGCUGUGCAGCCCAAUUGAGCAGAUGGUAUUAUUCAUCUAUUUUUCUUCUUUGAACUGUGACUGUAACUGUCAUUUGUCUUCUGACAGUCUUAUCUUCCUGUUUUUGGUGGGGUUUUUUUUGUUUGUUUUGUUUUGGUUUUUUUUUUUUUUUCCUAAAAUAUUUGGUGAUCUGGUCAAAAGCAUGCUGAGAAAUCGUUACGUGUUACUACCCUGGGUAAAUUGCCUUCCAAAUUCUGCAGGUGAAUUUCAUCUCUAAUCAGAUUCCUGCUGCAUGACAUCAGCUGCAUAGAAUUCAAAUCAAUACAAAAGUCCUCUUGCAGGUUUGAGCUCCCUCUGAAGGAUCAGCCAUUUCAUUUAGCUGCUGUGUACUUAUUGCUGGAAUAUACCUGGGAUGGUUUGAGUGACAGUCUUCAUUUCUGGUUCGGAGGAGAUUCAAGAAGGAAACAACAACCCAAGAGCAAGGAGGUUGUGAAUCAGCCAAACCUCUGGGAGACAUCAUGCACAGAGGAGGAGACACCAAGACUCCAUGCUCAGGAAAACUGAUAUACUUCUGUUAGUAGUCUUGGGUCUCAUUUGCAUUACCAUGCAUUACCAGUACUUAGAGAUAUGUUUAACUUUAAGGACAUGGGUGAUUGUGGUCUGAAAGCAGCAAUGUGGUUUUAUCUGCUUAUGUGCUCUAUAUUCUCAAAGGGAAACUGUUCCCACUUUUCAGAAACAAAACCUAAGGAUGUGACUGGGAAAAUGAGCCUGGGACAAAAAAAUCAGACCAACAGUCUGAAAAGAUAUAAAAUAGAAUAAAAUAUGUCACAGCCUAUUGUAAAAAAAAUCAUUUCUAACUAAGAAAAAGUGACUUGCAGGACUAAUUUGAGAAUAUAUUUGUAAUAAGCCAGCUAAGAUGAGCCAAGCUUUUUAAAUCAGUCCAUCCCUGCCUCCUUUGGCUGGUAGCAAGGAGAAAGAAACUUGGUGUGCAGCUGGAAGACUGAUGCCAAGCUAAUCGAAUGUGCGUGCAGAGGGAGCAGCAGAUGACAAGGACAGGAUUGGCAGGAUGUCGCCAGAUUGUUUGAUUAGCAAUGGGAUGGCUCAAGUGCUCCCUGUCCUACCAGGAACUUGGCACAGAUGCUGACACGUGACUCAGUCCCCAAGCAGUUGUUCUCUGCAGCACUGUUUGAAAAAGGGCUCUGCUUCUCCAAAAACAGGAAGGGUAUUAACAAAAACAAAAACAAGGAUGAGAAAGAAAGGCUAUGAGACUGUGUCUAUAAAUGUUAGAUUCUGGCUAUUCUUUCUGUUAAUACCACCCAAACUUCAGCUGAAAUGAAAUAUUUGACUUGGGAUAAAAAUCAGAUAGUCUGAAAUUUAACCCAGCAAAAGUAAUAUGAGGGAGCAUUGAUGAGUGGGUAUUUUCUUUCCCCUACAGUUUCGCCAUCCAUGUUAUUGCUUUCUUUCUGUGUGUCAGUUUAGACCAACCUGCCACAAAAAAAUAUAUUAUUUUUUUUCCUAGGAGACAAAUAUGGUGAGAAAGGCAGCAACACUAUCUUCUAACACCAAAGUUGCAAAUCUAUUCUGGUGAAGCUAAGUGAAAAAUGAAGCAAACUGAUUUCAGAGACAUAUACGUAGGCCUAUGGAGAAAGCCCCAAGCAUAAAAACUAGCUCUCAGCACGAAACAUGGGUAGCAAUUGCCUUUGAUUACUAACAGCAGGUUUUUCAGUCUAUGGACAAACGUGUAGAUUAUGAGCAAUUUUCUGAGGCAUCUAAAUCAGCAUAUUCAGAUAGAAACAAAUUUUUGAUGCUAUGGCAUCACAGCUACAGUCCAAAUUACAUUGCGCAGAUGUACAUGUAAAUAUCUUACUUGCACUAAAGGCAGCUCAGAAAAAUCAGGGAAUCUGACAUCUCCCCUGAGAUUUUUAAGAUAGUUCAAAUGAUAAAAUAAGUAAGUUCCUCAGAAACAAGAUGGGUGUUGGUGACAGUUUGUACAUUCAGCACAACAAAUAAUCAGCUGCUAUGAAUUUGGAUAACCCUGUUAAAGCCAACAGAACAGAAACAGUUUUUAUCAAGUUACAGCUAGUCCAGAGCACAUACAUGAGACUUGUACAUAACAAUACUGCAGAUAUAUGGAGAAACUGUAAUGCAGACAGCAGCUUUAUAGUGGGCUUUCAUAUGCCUAUAUACUUCUAAACUGUAUGUGUAACUACAUUCUUGUCAGUUCUUCAGCCUUUUCAGAUGGAUAUGUUACUUCUCUCUAACGUGUCAGUUUUCUGACUAACCUGUCAUAACAAUCUAUGACACCACUCUCUAACAGCUUACCACUGCUUUACAUGAAAUGUGAGGGUUUGUCUGCAGUCACACAUAGGAAUCAUAUUCCAAAAUAAGAGUGUGGGGGAGACGUCUGUAAGUAUAGAUGUAAGCGCAUACGUAUGUAUACGUAGACAGACACACAGAUCCAAAAUAUCUGCCUGUGAAUCAUUGGAAUUACAAUCACAGAGAAUGAAGCAGCACAAGAUGGGAUAUUUCUCCUGAGAUGGGAUAUUUCUCCUGAGCUGCACACUGUUUCUCAGCUUUGUGGAAAACUCCUUUUAUGCUGUGACCACAAAUGAUGCACCAUCAGUGGAGUGAUACCGUGUUGCUGAGAAAUAAACUGCUUGUUUGAAUGGACUUUGCAUUCGUUAUAGAAAAGGAACAACUCCAGUUUUAGAUAGAUUCAUUUAUUUGCUUUGCGCUGUUUCCAUGACUCAUAAUCCUUUUAAUAAAUCAAACUAAAGAACAUAACAUCAAAUCAGAGAAUCAUAGAAUCUUUAGAGUUGGAAGGAAUGCUUACAGGCCAAAGAGGUGCAAGGAGGUACAGGUUCUUGAUUUGAGUCCCUCUGGAACACUUGAAAACAUAAAAAUUGUUCAAAAUAUCAUCUUUCCAAAUUAAUAUGUGUUCUUGUUCUGUAUUGUGCACACCGACAUGACAUGAUUCCUGGAAUUUCCUGCUGAUAGAACAUUUUUCCAAAGAUGAGAAGACAUCCAAAACUUUACAUUAGCAUAGUUUAAAUUCACAAGUCCAUGGCCUCAGCCUACAGACAAUGAUGCCCCAGUCUCACUUGCAGCUAUUUCCAUUAGACGAGUGUGGCUGAUGGGUCAGAAUGGAAAAACUCAUGGGAAAAAAGACAACUUAAAAUCCAAAAGAUAAUGUUGGAGGUUUUAUCUGUGCUUCUGACAAUACACAGCUGUUAACUCUACUAAUCUGGGCUUUCUCUAAGGGCUGGCAGGGAAUUCAACAUAACCAAAUCUACUCUCUCUGAGGUGCGGGAACUUUCUGGAGCUUAUAAUGAAAGUCUGGAUGCUCAUGGAAAUCAAAGCUGCAUGCUCCUGCCCACAGAAGAGACAGGCAGCAUUGCCACUGCCCUGUGGCCCCAGAAAUAGAAUGGAAAUCUUUGAGGGACCUAAGAGAGAGGACUACAGCGAACACACAAUCUGUGUUUCCUGUAAACUUCUUCAUUUUCCCUCCAUCCUACUUUCAAAUGAAAACAGUCCCUACUGUUCUGAUGUAGGGGAGAAGUCUUUCCUGAUACAUAGCUUAACCUUAAAUGCUUAAAAGAGAAGGCAAACAGGUCCCAGAAAGGCUUAUCUGCAUCACAGAGGACACUAGUACCUCCUACCCCUCUCUUUCCAGUUGAAACUUAUCUUGGAUGUUUCAGAAAAAAAAGAUGAAGAGAAAGAGAAAAACAGCCAAGCAUUGUGUAAGGAGGUGUGAAACGUGUUUCUGGCCUUUACUUUCAUUCUGUGCUACCAUCUCAAAAUCUUUUCCUUGUUUCUGGGCAUCCUGUGUGACCCUUGUAAUUACAGUGAAUGUCUCUCAGGCAACAUUAACCCCUGCCCUGAUCCAUCUCUAACAAGGAUUGCAUUAAAAACUUCACUGUGUCUGCAGCUAUUUAAUCAUUCAUCACCUGGAAAGUGGUACUGCUCUACUGCUCUGUGACUGUGGCCAUUAGUGGUGACAAGCAAGGUCUUCCUGAAAUUAAGAAUAUGACAGUAUGAGCUGGCUUAGAUUCGGCCUUUUACAGAUACAUCCAAUAAUGAAAACUCCUUCACAUCGGUACUGUCCAAAGCCCGCUGACGUCAGUGGAGAGAUCUGAUCUCAGUGGGCUUUAAAUCAGACUCUAUAGCUAAGGCUUCCAAAGCAGCUGGGGGGAUUCAGGCACGUAUCUUUCAUUAAAGUGAGGGUAUAUUAAAGCAAAUGGAAGAUAUGUGUCUGAAAUCCCCUAGACUGCUUUGAAAAUCUAAAAUACUGUGCAAGCUGUACAGCUUUCUCUAUAAAAAUAGCUGCCAAAUCUAGCUUUGGUAAAGGCAAUAGAACUGCAUUAAAAGAUCCGCAGAAAGGCCUGGUCCCUCUGAUCCUUUAGGAAAACAGAGAGAAGGAUGGCCAGAGUGCUUUAUUUUCAGCUUUAAACCGUUCCCACGUCAAAGACAUUUGCUCGAGCAAUUUAUGGGAAUGGCAUAGUAGCCAAAAGAAAAGUAAUGCUACUCUUGUCUACGUAGAUGUCACACUUAUAUGGCUCAUCAAGCUGGGAUCAGGACUGCAACAUCUCUCGUGGACAUUAAGGAAUAUUUGAUGUGGGUUUCUCCAUGAGCCUAUGUGCAAGGCUGAUCUGGUUGCAAAUUCAUGUUGAUAAGGCUGAGCCCAAGACAGCACCACCAUCAUUCCAGCAGCUCCUCUCAGGAGAAGUCUUGGUACAGACCCUUCUCCUCCUGUCCAACUUUCAUGGGGACACAGCACUGUACCUCUCAGCCCCACGUAAGAACUCCCUCUGUUUUCCGAGAAGCAGUGAGGCAAGCCUUCUUUCCUAUAGCCCACAAUGACAAUCUACUUAUUAUUCAGACACAGCCUCGCCUAAUUACCUUGUUAUUUUGUGGCAGGCUAGAACAAGGUAGCACCAUUAAGUCAAGUGUCUUCAUUUUAGCCAUCCACUGCCUUCAUUCUUGAUUUAGAAGGCAGUGGCACAAGAGUGCUCUCAGUCACACACAUCCCAUACAGCUCAGGUUGUCGUGCCACUAGCUUACCUUGGUUGUGUAUCUGCUUAUAGACUUUUUUCUUUAUUUCUUGCAUUUUUGGACCACCAAGAACAAGUUACAUUCUGUUAGAGUGACAAAGAGUAAUUGUAUUUUACGUGUUAUUUCUUGAUGGUAGAGGUACUUCAAACCUCAGAUUGAUUCCAGAUGUCAAUUAUCAGAAAGUUUGAUGCAGUCAGCUCAGGGUGUCCAAUUCUGACCUGUCUCCUGCAAACACAAUCAAAACCUUAUUAUAAGACUCAGAGCUCAGACAAAUGAUAAGCCAAGUCCAGGGAUCUGCCCAUAGUUCAUAUUUUUAGUGCAGGAAGAAUUGACUCAAAGGGAAAAUUGAUGUACAAGAAGAUGUGAUAAAGCUGACGUCCAGAUAGCAUUUGCUCUGCUGAAAUUUUACAACCUGAGCAAGACAAUCUGUGAAAGAGGUAAUUGAGCAUUUGAAAAGCACCUGUUAAUGACGGGUAAGAUAACAACCCCGAGGAACCACCUGUCAGGGCAGGUGAUGAACUCUCCCUCUGAUCUGUUUCUUACUACAGUUUUCUCCAGUGAAACUGGUAGCACAUUCACAUGUCUUUCUAGAGAAAGUUCAUAAUAACAGAGGAUUUAAAUAAACAGAAGAUUGAUUUUAAUGGAAGGUGAAUCAUUUGUAUUUCUUUUUUCUUUUCUCGUGCAGCUGAAAUGUUUUAUCUAGCUUAGAUUAUGAGGAAUGUAAAUAAAUUUAUGUUGAAUGUUAAAUAAACAUUUGCUUUCUUUUUUCCAAUUUCCUUUUCUCUUUCUCUUUUUAAUAAAUCUUAUUUGGGAUGA
ensembl:lncRNA